AUGGCUCAGGACGAACGCUGGCGGCGUGCUUAACACAUGCAAGUCGAGCGGUAAGGCUCCUUCGGGAGUACACGAGCGGCGAACGGGUGAGUAACACGUGAGCAAUCUGCCCUUCACUCUGGGAUAAGCCUGGGAAACUGGGUCUAAUACCGGAUAUGACUUCGGAACGCAUGUUCUGGAGUGGAAAGUUCUGGCGGUGAAGGAUGAGCUCGCGGCCUAUCAGCUUGUUGGUGGGGUAAUGGCCUACCAAGGCGACGACGGGUAGCCGGCCUGAGAGGGUGACCGGCCACACUGGGACUGAGACACGGCCCAGACUCCUACGGGAGGCAGCAGUGGGGAAUAUUGGACAAUGGGCGAAAGCCUGAUCCAGCAACGCCGCGUGAGGGAUGACGGCCUUCGGGUUGUAAACCUCUUUCAGCAGGGACGAAGCGCAAGUGACGGUACCUGCAGAAGAAGCACCGGCCAACUACGUGCCAGCAGCCGCGGUAAUACGUAGGGUGCGAGCGUUGUCCGGAAUUAUUGGGCGUAAAGGGCUCGUAGGCGGUUUGUCGCGUCGGGAGUGAAAACUCAGGGCUCAACCCUGUUCGUGCUUCCGAUACGGGCAAACUAGAGGUAGGCAGGGGAGAACGGAAUUCCUGGUGUAGCGGUGGAAUGCGCAGAUAUCAGGAGGAACACCGGUGGCGAAGGCGGUUCUCUGGGCCUAUUCUGACGCUGAGGAGCGAAAGCAUGGGGAGCGAACAGGAUUAGAUACCCUGGUAGUCCAUGCCGUAAACGUUGGGCGCUAGGUGUGGGACUCAUUCCACGAGUUCCGUGCCGCAGCUAACGCAUUAAGCGCCCCC
rnacentral:rRNA from 1 species